rnacentral:rRNA from 1 species
CCCUUAGAUGUUCUGGGCCGCACGCGCGCUACACUGAUGCAUUCAACGAGUUUUACCUUGGCCGAGAGGCCUGGGCAAUCUUUUAAACCUGCAUCGUGAUAGGGAUAGAUUAUUGCAAUUAUUAAUCUUGAACGAGGAAUUCCUAGUAAACGCGAAUCAUCAAUUCGCAUUGAUUACGCCCCUGCCCUUUGUACACACCGCCCGUCGCUCCUACCGAUUGAAUGUUCCGGUGAGCUCUUCGGACUGCGCGGUCUGCAGUUUCUGCGUUCCGUGCGGAAAGUUGCGCAAACCUUAACAUUUAGAGGAAGGAGAAGUCGUAACA